CGGCGGACGGGUGAGUAAUGCCUAGGAAUCUGCCUGGUAGUGGGGGACAACGUUUCGAAAGGAACGCUAAUACCGCAUACGUCCUACGGGAGAAAGCAGGGGACCUUCGGGCCUUGCGCUAUCAGAUGAGCCUAGGUCGGAUUAGCUGGUUGGUGAGGUAAUGGCUCACCAAGGCGACGAUCCGUAACUGGUCUGAGAGGAUGAUCAGUCACACUGGAACUGAGACACGGUCCAGACUCCUACGGGAGGCAGCAGGG
rnacentral:rRNA from 1 species